rnacentral:rRNA from 1 species
CUAACAGGAUUCCCCUAGUAACUGCGAGUGAAGCGGGAAAAGCUCAAAUUUAAAAUCUGAUGGUCGUUUGGCCAUCCGAGUUGUAAUUUAGAGAAGCGUCUUCCGCGCUGGACCGUGCAUAAGUCUCCUGGAACGGAGCGUCAUAGAGGGUGAGAAUCCCGUCUUUGGCAUGGACCCCCAGGGCUUCUGUGAUGCGCUCUCGAAGAGUCGAGUUGUUUGGGAAUGCAGCUCAAAAUGGGUGGUGAACUCCAUCUAAAGCUAAAUAUUGGCGAGAGACCGAUAGCGAACAAGUACCGUGAGGGAAAGAUGAAAAGCACUUUGGAAAGAGAGUGAAACAGUACGUGAAAUUGUUGAAAGGGAAACGCUUGAAGUCAGUCGCGUCGACCGAGACUCAGCCUUGCCUCGGCUUGGUGUACUUCUCGGCUGAUGGGCCAGCAUCAAUUUCGAUCCUUGGAUAAUGGCGGAGGGAAUGUGGCACCUUUACGGGUGUGUUAUAGCCCUCUGUCGGAUGCAAGGGUUGGGAUUGAGGAACUCAGCAUGCACCUCUUGGUGUUGGGGCCUUGGCUCACAUACAUGCUUAGGAUGCUGGCAUAAUGGCUUUAAACGACCCGUCUUGAAACACGGACCAAGGAGUCUAACAUACCCGCAAGUGUUCGGGUGGAAAACCCGUGCGCGCAAUGAAAGUAAAAGUUGGGACCUCUGUCGUGGAGGGCACCGACGCCUGGACCAGACCUUCUGUGACGGCUCUACGGUAGAGCGUGUAUGUUGGGACCCGAAAGAUGGUGAACUAUGCCUGAAUAGGGUGAAGCCAGAGGAAACUCUGGUGGAGGCUCGUAGCGAUUCUGACGUGCAAAUCGAUCGUCAAUUUGGGUAUAGGGGCGAAAGACUAAUCGAACAUCUA